CAUCCCUUUGAAUUAAUUGGGAUGGACCUCAUUGGAAAACUGGCCGAAACAAAAUCUGGACACAAGUAUAUUUGUGUCAUGAUUGACUAUUUUACGAAGUGGCCACAGGCACAUCCACUAAAGACUAAAUCAGCACCUGAAGUUACGGAAUGCAUAAUUAAGUUUGUGCAUCAGUUUGAAGCCCCCAAAAGGAUUUUGACAGACCAAGGACGAGAAUUUGUAAAUUCCAUAAACCAGGAAGUGUGCAAAAUUCUCAAUAUCAAACGAAGUCUGUGUUCCCCAUACCAUCCCCAAACAAAUGGGUUGGUUGAAAAAAUGAAUGGGACCAUUCAAAGAGCUCUGAGUAAGGCUGUGGAUGGCCAUCCACACACCUGGGAUGAGUAUUUGGAUGCCGUGAUGUUUGGGAUACGCACCAAAAAAUAAAUAACCACACAGUAUUCCCCAUACUUCCUCAUGUUCGGAAGAGAGGCACGCUAUCCCUCGGAAGUCCCUGAACAUUACAUGAUUGACGGUGCUGUGGAGGACAUCGUUGGAGUGGAGGAGUUAGCAGAGGACGUCAAAAUACAAGAAAGCCUGAGGAGCAUUGUCAGCGACAGUGUUUCCAAAAAACAGGAGAAAGCAAAGGGCAGAGCACAACACAUUGGCACUGUGUUUAAACCU